GACGAACGCUGGCGGCGUGCCUAAUACAUGCAAGUAGAACGCAGUUGCGAACGGGUGAGUAACGCGUAGGUAACUGCCUCAUAGCGGGGGUUAACUAUUGGAAACCAUAGCUAAUCACUCAUACUGUGACAUGGACCUGCGUUGUAUUAGCUAGUUGUUGAGGUAAAGGCUCACCAAGGUGACGAUACAUAGCCGACCUGAGAGGGUGAUUUGCCACACUGGUACUUUGACACGGCCCAGACUCCUACGGGAGGCAGCAGUAGGGAAUCGUCGGAAAUGGACGGAAGUCUGACCGCACUACUCCGCGUGAGUGAAGAAGGUUUUCGGAUCGUAAAUCGCUGUUGUUAGAGAAGCGGUAACUAAACAGAAAGGGACGGCUAACUACGUGCCAGCAGCCGCGGUAAUAC
rnacentral:rRNA from 1 species